CUUGUCACAAAAUGUUCUACUAACUUAAAAAAAUUAGUUAGUUUACUUAAAUGUUUUGAGGUAAUACGUUUCUUCAAAUGAUUCUGACCUUAAUGAGUUUUACAGUGCAGCACAGUGGAAUUCAAAAAUAUAUUCUGUGUGUGGAUUAUUAAAAUAUUGUAUACUAAACAUUUUAUAGAGCAGCGGUUCAGAGUUAAUUCUGCGCGUAUUGAGGGAGAUGUGUGGCGUGUUGAACCUUGUGACAGGCAGCACAAUUACCCUUAAUUAAAAACACUACAUGAACAGACACUCCACUGAUUACCGAUCACAGCUUGAAUUACCAGACACCAAAAGCCAGAAACAUACUCUUAAGUAGCCUACAUGAAUGCAAAUGCUUCUAGUUGCACAAGCUCUCUUUAUUAAAAAUAAAAGGUUCUAUAUUGGCAUUGAUGGUUCCAUGAAGAACCUUGGAAUCUUUCCAUUCCACAAAAGGUUCUUUAUAGUGGAAAAGGUUCUUUAUUAAUAAAAUGUUCUUCACACUAAGAAAAAAAAAAUGGUUCUUUUAAGAACUGAUUACGGAAAUGGUUCUUCUGUGGAAUCAAUGUCAAAACCCCUUUUAGAACCUUUACUUUUAAAAGCGUAUGUCAUGCAUCAUUGUGUUAAACUGCAAAAAAUAUGUUUAUCACUUAGUAUUUUUGUCUCGUUUUUAAGUACAAAUAUCUAAACAUUCUUAAAUCAAGAUAUAUUUACUUUGAUGCAAAAGGACAUAAGAUAUUAAGUUUGGUUAUUACGUUUUUAUAAGAUAUUAAGUUUGGUUUUCUGAAAAAUCUAUCAAAAUCUAUCAAGUGAGUUUAUGCUCAAAACCAGAAGAAAUAUCUGCCAACUGCAUCAGAAAAGUAAACUUGUUUUCCCUUGGUUUUUGACCACACUGCCAGAUAUUUUUCUGUUUUAAGCAUAAACUCACAUAAACUCACAUUUUUUUUUAUAAACCAACACUGAAUCUCUCAUGUCAUUUGGCUUCUCAAGUAAAUGUAUCUUGAUUUAAGAAUGUUUAGAUAUUUGUAUUGGAAAAAGACAAAAGAAAAACAGUUUUUGCAGUGUACAAAAUGUGUCAGGACGCUAAUUAUGGAUUUUUGGUAUGUACAGUAUUUAUAGUCUUACUGGCAUGCUGUUUCAUUAGAUUAGUAAACUGAAAACAAAAGAAACUUAACAAAUUCAAGUUAAAUUGCCUGUAAAUUUACAGCAAGUGACUUGAACAAUGCAACUGCAUAUUCUGACCAUCAUUAGUGAGGUUUGUUAAUGCCAAAGUUAUGCAAAUAUGCUCGUAUUUACAAUAAAACUGUGCAUAGAGUAUGCUUCUCGUCUUACAGUUUUUCCCAUCUUCUCUCCCUUCAGAAACGCCAGUCAACGAGAGUAAAGCCAGAGCAGAUGAAUGGAAAUAGAAGAGGUAGAAAAAGCUUUUGAUUCGGCUCUGAGCUCAGAGUUCGGUUCUCCUGAGGCGUAAAUUAUGAAACACUCAGACCGAUUUAAACAGAAAAGGAGGAGAGGUGAAGUCAGUACAGACACAAGAGAGUUACCCACAAUGCUCCGCUCUGCCCCAAUUAACUAAGACAAAUGGGCCGCAUGUAUUAGCCUGACACAUCAAAAUAGAGGGCACGUCACUCCGUGAACCGGGAUACCGGAUGAGCUGGUGAAAGUCAAGCAAGAAUGGCGAUUAUUAGUCAGCUGUUGGAGUGUUUCUAGAAAGCAGAAGAACUGCCGUGUUGACGCCAAACUGCGGUAGAGGAGAAACCAGAGACCCUUCAAAGGUUUGGAGAGCAUCCUCUUCAUCAGCCUCGGAUGAAAGCGGCUAUGGCCUGAUGGGAGGAAGAACAGGAGAAUUAGAAGCCAACACAGAAAAGAGGGAAUGCUGGGAAAAUGUCUAAUGACGUCGGGGUCUUUGGAAGGUUAUCAUCUGUGAAAUAUGAAUUUAUUAAUAUUUCGCCAACGAGUAGAACGAAAGCUGACUCAGGAUGAAACCAGAGAGAGAAGGAUAAUGAAGAGAGUAAAAGACAAAAUCUCAGAUUCUUUCCAUCUGAAGUCACAUCUAAAGAGAAGUAGACACGGAUGAAGCACAAAACCAGAGGUACAAAACCCCCAAGUUACGCAGUUCUGUUUGACUUGAGGGACCCAAAGCUCAGAGGAACUACAGAAGAACGGCUCUAACCACCCGUGGCGCCCACAAAAGCCAAGCCUUUCUUCCAUUUCAGGAAACCAGGCGGGAGGAUGAAGAGGCAAAGGGUCACGUCCCCCGAUUGGGCCCUCCAUUCAUCACGAGUGUCAGGAUUGGCCGGCACAGACGUCGAGAGGUGCACGUCAGUAUGGAGAGACCGUCUAAAAGGACAGAUUUAUAUCUCCUUUCAAGCGUUACGCUGAGCGAGAGAAAGCGAGAGAGACUAGUCCUUAAGAUUGGCUGAGGUUAUCCUCGGGAGACACAGAGACACAGACUGGAUGCAAUCGAUAAGGCCAUUUAAAGAGAGAGUGUCAGUAUCCCCGAAGAAAGACGACACAUUCAAACACUGACAAAUGAUAGCAACCGGACCGCUUUCACACACAAAGCCAACGCGGUCAGGAAGCGCUCUCGCUAAUUACACAUAAUUGGGUUUUAAUUGGGAAAUGGUGAUUUGCUUGCUUCACAUUUUAAAGGCUCUCUGGACUUAAAAGUCCAUAAGGACUUCAUACAAAUGGCAUGAUUUACUGAACUGCACAUAAAACAGCCCAGCCUCACAAUUCAAAAAUACCAUAAUUUUCCUGUGUAUCACUAAUGCUUGAGAAAUCGGUCCCAAAAUCAGCCCGAUUAUCAUGUGGUGUGUACCCAGCAUAAAUUAUCAAUCAAUUACCAUUUUAACCUCAGUUCGGAGGAGUCCCAUAUAUAAAAACAAAAGCUAUGAAAAAAAAAAAAAAAUACUAUAAUAGACUAUCAAUAA